GAUGAAGAACGCAGCGAAAUGCGAUACGUAAUGUGAAUUGCAGAUUUCAGUGAAUCAUCGAAUCUUUGAACGCACAUUGCGCCCGCUAGUAUUCUGGCGGGCAUGCCUGUUCGAGCGUCAUUUCAACCAUCAAGCCCCCGGCUUGCGUUGGAGCCCUGCGGCUGCCGCAGGCUCCCAAAUCCAGUGGCGGGCUCGUCGUCGAACCGAGUGCAGUAAACAUCCUCGCUCAGGGAACGUGACGGGUUCUUGCCGUGAAACCCCCCACAUAUCAAGGUUGACCUCGGAUCAGGUAGGAAUACCCGCUGAACUUAAGCAUAUCAAUAAGCGGAGGA
rnacentral:misc_RNA from 1 species